UACGGAGGGGGCAAGCGUUGUCCGGAAUCAUUGGGCGUAAAGAGCGUGUAGGCGGCCCGAUAAGUCCGCUGUGAAAGUCCAGGGCUCAACCCUGGGAUGCCGGUGGAUACUGUCGGGCUCGAGUCCGGAAGAGGAGUGUGGAAUUCCUGGUGUAGCGGUGAAAUGCGCAGAUAUCAGGAGGAACACCAAUGGCGAAGGCAGCACUCUGGGACGUGACUGACGCUGAGACGCGAAAGCGUGGGGAGCAAACAGG
rnacentral:rRNA from 1 species